AGUUUGAGGACAUGUCGGCCGCGUCUUUGAGCAACGGAAGAUGGUACGCAUCUGCCGGCAGCGUCCUGGUACCAGAACUGCCCUGUCUGCAUGAGAAAUUCCGUAGCACCAUAUUUUUCUGCUGAUUGAAGGAUAUCAUUGCUGUCAGUAAAUGAUGUUACUAAUAAGAUGGCCACAUUUGGAGUGCAGUUUCUCAUGUAUGCACUAGCUGCUGAUCUACCAAGCAGUACUAUGGAAUUUAUAUAUGUGUUUUGAAAAACAUACUUUUAUCCAGCAGAUGAUUGGUAGAAGUGUUGUUAUUCUCCCAUUGUCUACUGAAUGCAUGUAUCCAUCUCUCUCAAAAUAGGGCUUAUGACAUGACUCGGGAUUCAGGAUUAGCCGUUGAAUCUCUACCAGGAGCAUCAAGGCCUCCAUUCAUUGUUGGAUCGUUUCUCUGAAUUACAUGAAGUUGAAAGAGAGAUAUGGUGCAAGCCAUCUUUGCAUCACUAUACUACAUAAGCAUGGUAUUGACCAUAGAUGCCUUUAAAAAAGCACAGUUGGGUGCAUUUGUACUUUUUAGUUGGGAUUACCUUUGUCUCUCUCGCGCGCACAAGAAGGUGUACUUAGGAACUAUCUCAUCUUUUUGGUCAUGUGUAGGAAAACGUAUUUAAAACCAUGUGGGAAGUAAUAUAAAUUUAGCACCGAUUGUUGGCUUCA